CAGUAGCCGCGGGAAUACGUAGGUGGCAAGCGUUGUCCGGAAUUAUUGGGCGUAAAGGGCUCGCAGGCGGUUUCUUAAGUCUGAUGUGAAAGCCCCCGGCUCAACCGGGGAGGGUCAUUGGAAACUGGGAAACUUGAGUGCAGAAGAGGAGAGUGGAAUUCCACGUGUAGCGGUGAAAUGCGUAGAGAUUAGGAGGAACUCCAGUGGCGAAGGCGGCUUUUUGGCCUGUAACUGACACUGAGGCGCGAAAGCGUGGGGAGCAAACAGGAUUAGAGACCCCCGUAGUCCCUGUCUCUUAUAA
rnacentral:rRNA from 1 species